GAGCGCGCGCGCCGUGAUGGGGAAGGAGGUGGCGGCGGAGGGUAACAGAGCUGCUCCCGCCCUUCCAGAGGCUCAUCCAGCCCGAGGAGAUGUGGCUCUACCGGAAUCCGUACGUGGAAGCAGAGUAUUUCGCCACCAAGCCGAUGUUUCUAGCUGUCUGACGUUCUCGGGGCGGCCCUGUUUCCUUUCGCGUGCUGAGCUCUGCCGUGUCCGGGCGCAGGUCGUCGCCUUGCUGGCCCCGCUGGCCCCGGUCCUCCUGGCCAGGUGUCUGAAGAAGGCGGACGCAGUGGACAGCCGGCAGGCCUGCCUGGCUGCCAGCCUGGCCCUGGCUCUGAACGGCGUCUUCACCAACACAGUCAAACUGAUAGUGGGGAGGCCACGCCCAGACUUCUUCUACCGUUGCUUCCCCGACGGGCAAGCCCAUCAUGACUUGACGUGCACAGGAAAUGAGGACGUGGUGAAUGAGGGCCGCAAGAGCUUCCCCAGUGGACAUUCUUCCUUUGCAUUUGCUGGUCUGGCCUUCGCGUCCUUCUACCUGGCAGGGAAGUUACACUGCUUCACACCACGAGGCCGAGGGGAAUCUUGGAGGUUCUGUUCCUUUCUGUCACCCCUACUCUUUGCAGCUGUGAUUGCACUGUCCCGCACCUGUGACUACAAGCAUCACUGGCAAGAUGUCCUGGCUGGAUCCACCAUCGGCCUGACGUUCGCCUAUGUCUGCUAUAGGCAGUACUACCCUCCCCUGACGGACGCCCAGUGCCACAGACCACUGCAGCGCAGCCCUGCUCUUCCCACCGCGCAGAAGCAGCCUGGCGACCCUCGUCAUUUUGAUGUUUAGACACUGGAGCUGCCUCCCUGGAAAACAGGACUGAAGAUCCGCCCAAAUGCACUAGCUGUGCCAAGCAGCCAAGGCAGGGCAGGGCAGUCAGAGACACGGUUGUCUGGAGGGCAGGGCUUUGGAUACCAUGAUACAUUUACUUACAAGAAACCGAUAUAAAAAACGAAACACAGCUUGCCUGUCUACACCGCUCUGUCCACCAGGGCCUGUAGGAACCUGAGAGGAGUGUGAAGGACUGUCACAAAGAGAACUGCAAAGACAAUCACAAACUGAGACCUGUGAGAAAGAAAAUACCUACAGCACAGCGGUGAGCAAGAUGCCUUGGAAACAAUUAGUCUCCAUUCACUCGUCUUCUUCAAGGUGCAUCUCACUUGCACGCUCUGACACUGACUCUGCACCAGCUGUUCCUGGCCCCAUAGACGCAGGUUUGUUUUUCAGAAUAAGGAACACUUCCCCCUAGCCAGAUCUACCAACACUGCCUGUGCCGGGAGCCUGUUCCAUAGCGACCUGCACGACGGGUACCUAAGGAGGCAACGCUGUUUAUGUGCUUGAAGAGGACACUCUUCAGUACUCCCUUCACCCAAGCAGCUGUGGCAGAUGGCUUACACAAAUUCUAUUUCACCAUCAAUGCACCACUGAGACAUUUCAUUCAUCACUUAAUAAGCAGUCAAAGCUGUGUAAUUUCAGGUCUGUCAGCUUUUAAACCCUCAAGAACUAACAACUAAGUCGGACUUUGUCUAGAGUCUCCCAGUUUGAAGUAUGAUAUGAUAUAAAAGGGCAGGUCCAGGAUAUAUAACAUCUUUGCUUUAUAAAGAUGCACCUGAUGUGAACUAAACUGUCCACUUCAGACUGUCCACCGAGAGCAGCUCAAACAGCUGUGGAAACAAUGAACAGCAUCAGUGAUUCCUAGCAAUAAAUCUGUCAGUCAGCUGUAGAGAGAGUAACCAGUAUUUACAGAUUUUAGUCUUUCUUCAUACAGUACGUGUAGGAAAUGAAAGCUGGCUCAAGAGAAUCUGAUGGCCACCAGUCUCCCUCACUCACUUACACUUGGCCUUCAAACGCACAGAACGCCCAUGAGCGAUGAGCAGACCCCAAAAUGCCUUCUGAAUCGCAGGGGUCCGCUUCCAGAUUAGAGUAUUUUCUAAAGAUAAGCAAUAAUUUCUUAGGAAAAUUUAUACCCAACCCAAAACAAAAACUCAGACUUUAUACCAUCUCAAGUAAUAAACAAUAAACUGUGGUACCUAAGAGAAAAACAAAUACCGUAUGCUAACACAUAUAUAUGGAAUCUAAGAAAAAGAAAAAAAAAGGUCAUGAAGUACCUAGGGGUAAGACGGGAAUAAAGACACAGACCUACUAGAGCAUG